rnacentral:rRNA from 1 species
UACGUAGGGGGCAAGCGUUGUCCGGAAUUAUUGGGCGUAAAGAGCGCGUAGGCGGUCCGAUAAGUCGGCUGUGAAAGUCAAGGGCUCAACCUCGAAAGCCGGCCGAUACUGUCGGACUAGAGUCCGGAAGAGGCGAGUGGAAUUCCCGGUGUAGCGGUGAAAUGCGUAGAUAUCGGAAGGAACACCUGUGGCGAAAGCGGCUCACUGGACCAUAACUGACGCUGAGGCGCGAAAGCUAGGGGAGCAAACGGG